rnacentral:rRNA from 1 species
CACCGCGGUUAUACGGGUGGCCCAAGUUGAUAAUUUUCGGCGUAAAGGGUGGUUAAGGAACUAUUUAAACUAAAGCCGAAAGACUUCCCAGCUGUUAUACGCAGAUACGAACGAAAGAAGCUCAACCACGAAAGUGGCUUUAUUAACCCUGACCCCACGAAAGCUAUGGCA